rnacentral:rRNA from 1 species
GUGACGAGUUUGAUCCUGGCUCAGGAUGAACGCUAGCGGUGCGCCUAACACAUGCAAGUCGAGCGGGAGUAGAAGUUAGCUUGCUAACUUCUACAAUAGCGGCGAACGGGUGAGUAACACGUUGGAAUCUGCCCCUUGGUCAGGGAUAGCCAUCUGAAAAGAUGAUUAAUACCGGAUAGUCUCGAAAGAGUAAAGAUUUAUUGCCAAGGGAGGAGCCUGCGGUCUAUCAGCUAGUUGGUGAGGUAAAGGCUUACCAAGGCUAUGACGGAUAGCUGGUCUGAGAGGAUGAUCAGCCGCAAUGGAACUGAGACACGGUCCAUACUCCUACGGGAGGCAGCAGUGAGGAAUCUUCCACAAUGGGGGCAACCCUGAUGGAGCGACACCGCGUGAAGGAUGAAGGUCUAACGAUUGUAAACUUCUUUUCUGAGGGAGCAUAAUGAGAGUACCUCAGGAAUAAGGGACGGCUAAAUACGUG